rnacentral:rRNA from 1 species
AGGACGAACGCUGGCGGCGCGCCUAACACAUGCAAGUCGAGCGAGAACCAGGACUUCGGUCCUGGGGAAAGCGGCGAACGGGUGCGUAACACGUGAGCAACCUGCCCCGAAGACCGGGACAAGCCGGGGAAACCUGGUCUAAUACCGGAUGUCCUCACCGGAUCGCAUGGUCUGGUGAGGAAAUGGAUUCCGCUUCGGGAUGGGCUCGCGGUCUAUCAGCUUGUUGGUGGGGUAACGGCCUACCAAGGCAACGACGGAUAGCUGGUCUGAGAGGACGAUCAGCCACACUGGGACUGAGACACGGCCCAGACUCCUACGGGAGGCAGCAGUGGGGAAUCUUGCGCAAUGGGGGAAACCCUGACGCAGCGACGCCGCGUGCGGGAUGAAGGCCUUCGGGUUGUAAACCGCUUUCAGCAGGGACGAAUUGACGGUACCUGCAGAAGAGGCCGGCCAACUACGCGCCAGCACGCCGC